rnacentral:tRNA from 1 species
GGCAGCAUGGCUGAGUGGUCUAAAGCGCUAGACUUGAAAUCUAGUACCUUCGGGUGCGCAGGUUCGAACCCUGCUGCUGUCG